UAGGGAAUAUUAGUAAUGGGCGAAAGCCUGAACUAGCAACGCCACGUGUGCGAAGAAGGCCUUCGGGUUGUAAAGCACUUUUUGAGAGGAUGAGGAAGGACGGUACUCUCAGAAUAAGUCUCGGCUAACUACGUGCCAGCAGCCGCGGUAACACGUAGGAGGCGAACGUUAUCCGGAUUUACUGGGCCUAAAGCGCGUGUAGGUGGUUUGGUAAGUAGGGCGUGAAAGCUCCUGGCUCAACUGGGAGAGGCCGUUCUAAACUGCCGAACUAGAGGAUGGUAGAGGGAGGUGGAAUUCCGGGUGUAGCGGUGGAAUGCGCAGAUAUCCGGAGGAACACCAGUGGCGAAAGCGGCCUCCUGGACCACUCCUGACACUCAGACGCGAAAGCUAGGGUAGCAAACGG
rnacentral:rRNA from 1 species